rnacentral:rRNA from 1 species
AUGCACGCUGGCGGCGUGCCUAAUACAUGCAAGUCGAGCGAACGGACGAGAAGCUUGCUUUUCUGAUGUUAGCGGCGGACGGGUGAGUAACACGUGGAUAACCUACCUAUAAGACUGGGAUAACUUCGGGAAACCGGAGCUAAUACCGGAUAAUAUUUUGAACCGCAUGGUUCAUAAGUGAAAGACGGUCUUGCUGUCACUUAUAGAUGGAUCCGCGCUGCAUUAGCUAGUUGGUAAGGUAACGGCUUACCAAGGCAACGAUGCAUAGCCGACCUGAGAGGGUGAUCGGCCACACUGGAACUGAGACACGGUCCAGACUCCUACGGGAGGCAGCAGUAGGGAAUCUUCCGCAAUGGGCGAAAGCCUGACGGAGCAACGCCGCGUGAGUGAUGAAGGUCUUCGGAUCGUAAAACUCUGUUAUUAGGGAAGAACAUAUGUGUAAGUAACUGUGCACAUCUUGACGGUACCUAAUCAGAAAGCCACGGCUAACUACGUG